rnacentral:rRNA from 1 species
AUACGUAGGGAGCAAGCGUUAUCCGGAUUUACUGGGUGUAAAGGGCGCGUAGGCGGGACUGCAAGUCAGGUGUGAAAUCUGGUGGCUCAACCACCAAACUGCACUUGAAACUGUGGUUCUUGAGUGAUGGAGAGGUAAGCGGAAUUCCCGGUGUAGCGGUAAAAUGCGUAGAUAUCGGGAGGAACACCAGUGGCGAAGGCGGCUUACUGGACAUUUACUGACGCUGAGGCGCGAAAGUGUGGGGAGC